GGGGGUGAUCGGUUUCGACAUUGGUCGGCGGAUCAAGGGAAGCGGGUCGAGGAUGCACGGUCAUCUCGUCAACGCUCCGUGCAAACCCAUAGGUGCCAACUCCAAGCGCACCGACUUCGCCCUCGCCGCCUGAGCGAGCCCGAAGUCUGUCAGCCUGAGCUAGUUCUCGACUCAGUGCCUGGCAUCAGCUAGAGAACUCGCUGCUGCGUCACGUCGCGGGACGCAGUGGGACUCCUACGCGACUGGGCCUGUCAGGGAACGUGUGCGCGCGAGCCCUGGGGCCGAGAAACUCCAUAGCGCACUGCACCCGGAGAAGCCUUGGUUUCCCGUCAGUGGACGCGGGUUCGAUUCCCGCCACCUCCACCA
rnacentral:tmRNA from 1 species